UGGGGAAUAUUGGACAAUGGGCGAAAGCCUGAUCCAGCCAUGCCGCGUGUGUGAAGAAGGUCUUCGGAUUGUAAAGCACUUUAAGUUGGGAGGAAGGGCAGUAAGCGAAUACCUUGCUGUUUUGACGUUACCGACAGAAUAAGCACCGGCUAACUCUGUGCCAGCAGCCGCGGUAAUACAGAGGGUGCAAGCGUUAAUCGGAAUUACUGGGCGUAAAGCGCGCGUAGGUGGUUCGUUAAGUUGAAUGUGAAAGCCCCGGGCUCAACCUGGGAACUGCAUCCAAAACCGGCGAGCUAGAGUAGGGCAGAGGGUGGUGGAAUUUCCUGUGUAGCGGUGAAAUGCGUAGAUAUAGGAAGGAACACCAGUGGCGAAGGCGACCACCUGGGCUCAUACUGAAACUGAGGUGCGAAAGAGUGGGGAGCAAACAGG
rnacentral:rRNA from 1 species